CAGCAGCCGCGGUAAUACGAGGGGGGCAAGCGUUGUUCGGAAUUAUUGGGCGUAAAGGUUGCGUAGGCGGUUUGACAAGUCUUGUGCGAAAUCUCUGGGCUCAACCCAGAGUCUGCACGGGAAACUGUCGGGCUAGAGGAUGGGAGAGGUGAGUGGAAUUUCCGGUGUAGCGGUGAAAUGCGUGGAUAUCGAAAGGAACACCUGUGGCGAAAGCGGCUCACUGGACCAUUUCUGACGCUGAUGCACGAAAGCUAGGGGAGCAAACAGGAUUAGAUACCCGGGUAGUCCCUGUCUCUUAUAU
rnacentral:rRNA from 1 species